GUACACGCAGAAGAACAAAUGUCAAAGUAUCUUUCUCCCCUCAACCCCAGACAAAAAAUUUCGGUUUGCAGCUUGUUGUUGGAAUGAACAAAUCUGCUGCUUCAGCAUCUGGCUAGUACUCUUGUCUGGGAAAUAGAACCUAGGGGCCUGGCUGCUCUGGUCUAUGUGGGUUCUCUACAAAUGAUGUCAUAAACAUGGAAACUCCUAACAGGCAUGAAUAUCCAGAGCUGCACACUGCCAGGCUUCUGAAACAUUGUCUGAAACUAUCAUAGAUGUCCUCUUCCAGUGUGAUUUUGUGGCUCUUCCUGCUUACUUUUUGUGUGCACAGCAAAUUCUCAUGUAGUCAGUCAGCAAACCCAUCUGAGAAAUGAGGAUAUUUUUAGUAGAAGUAGGCAGAAGGAAUAAGAGAGAAUUAUGGAGAACAAAAAGACAAUGGAAAUGAGCUAAAAAAUACAAAAUUAGUGUUUUACUACCUCGUUUUAUGCUUCCUCCAACUCCUCAAUCCUACCAAACUCCUUGAUAUUCUCUUUUAGUCAAGUGAGACAGGUUGAAAGCAACACAAGAGAAUUUGUCGUAAAACUUUGGGAAAGGAGGAUGCGUUCCUGACCUUGGAAGAAUUAGCCAGACCACAAAACAAAUAACUAAGGACAUCCUCGGACAUGGAGAGCUGCCAGGUCCAAUUAAGAUGGGUCCCAGCCAUGAGUAGUCACUAAUAAAAUUAUUUGGGAGUAAGCAAACCUCUGGGUCCCCUUAGAGGAUAGGAAUGCUGAGAAAGUUG